rnacentral:rRNA from 1 species
AGGCAGCAGUAGGGAUCUUCCGCAAUGGGCGAAAGCCUGACGGAGCAACGCCGCGUGAGUGAUGAAGGUCUUCGGAUCGUAAAACUCUGUUAUUAGGGAAGAACAAAUGUGUAAGUAACUAUGCACGUCUUGACGGUACCUAAUCAGAAAGCCACGGCUAACUACGUGCCAGCAGCCGCGGUAAUACGUAGGUGGCAAGCGUUAUCCGGAAUUAUUGGGCGUAAAGCGCGCGUAGGCGGUUUUUUAAGUCUGAUGUGAAAGCCCACGGCUCAACCGUGGAGGGUCAUUGGAAACUGGAAAACUUGAGUGCAGAAGAGGAAAGUGGAAUUCCAUGUGUAGCGGUGAAAUGCGCAGAGAUAUGGAGGAACACCAGUGGCGAAGGCGACUUUCUGGUCUGUAACUGACGCUGAUGUGCGAAAGCGUGGGGAUCAAACAGGAUUAGAUACCCUGGUAGUCCACGCCGUAAACGAUGAGUGCUAAGUGUUAGGGGGUUUCCGCCCCUUAGUGCUGCAACUAACG